rnacentral:lncRNA from 7 species
AUGUGCUUUCUCCUCGAGACUCCCCCAUUUAACCCGAAAAUUACGCGUUUUCUCUUUGAGAAUCUCCGAUUUUACCCGAGAAUCACGCGUUUUCUCUUCGGGAAUCCCUCAUUUAACCCCAAAAUCACGCAUUUUGUCUUCGGAAAUCCCCCAUUUAACCCGCAAAUCACGUGUUUUCUCUUCGAAAAUCUGCCAUUUAAGCAAAAAAUCACGCGUUUUCUCUUCGAGAAUCCUCCAUUUAUGCGAAAAUCACGCUGUUUCUCAUCGCAAAUUUCCCAUUUAAGCGAAAAUCACGUGUUUUCUAUUCUAAAUCUCGCAUUUAAGCGAAAAUCACAUGCUUUGUCUUCCGAAAUCCCGUUUAACCUUAAAAUCAUGUGGUUUCUCUUCGAGAAUCCCCCAUUUAAUCCACAAAUCGCGUGUUUUCUCUUCGACAAUCCCCCAUUUAACCCGAAAAUCACACGUUUUCUCUUUGAGAAUCCCCCAUUUAAGGAAAAUCAUGCGUUUCUCUUUGCAAAUCCCCAUUUAAGUGAAAAUCCACGUAUCUCUUCGCAAAUUCUUCAUUUAAGCAAAAAUCAGGUGGUUUCUCUUCGAGAAUCCCAAAUUUAAGUGAAAAUCACGUUUUCUCUUUGAA